UGUGCCCUGGGUGUUUGAGCUGCAACCUUCCUCCAUUCUAAAAACAAGAUUUUCUUCUAUAGACUUUGAGAUGCUAAUCUCACGCAUGAGAUCAUGGACUUGGCAAGAGUCAAUUCCUUUUCUACUAUUAACUGAUAGCUGAGAAGGUAGGAUCAUGCUCCUCUCUAUUAGUUCCAUGAAGUAGUUGUCAGCUACUUCUUCUGGGGACUUAUCUCGAAUCUCCCGUGAGUAACCUUCUGCACUCCACCGUCGUAUCAAACAUCUUCGACUAAUCUUGUGAUCUUCAGGGAAGACGGAUGUAUACAGGAAACAAGACUUAAGAUGAUAUGGUAGACCAUCGUAACUUUUACCGAGAAUUGUUUUUAUGGCCCCAACCUCUGGGUUCAUUUCCAAUUCAGCACUAAUAUGCUCAUUCAAUUUCCUCCACUCUACCGCUACUUUUGGUUGCUUUGCCAAGAAGCCUCUGAUGGUGACUAUUGCAAGGGGAAGUCCAUUGCACUUCUUCAAGAUCAUGUUUGCUUCUUUGAUCAAUUCAGGAUGCUUGUCCAAAUCUUUGUCCUCCUUAAAUACCUGAAAUCAGUAGUGCUUAUUAUGUUCUUUGAGAUUGAAAAUACGUACGAAUGGUCUAUGUAGUUUACUUAUUUAUUAGAAUGACUAUGGCACAAUUAUUAGUCUCAUGCCUAUUGAAGAAUAGAACUAUUAGUUAUGAUGUCCUUAUAUCGUAAUGAAAGAUAACACAAAUGGCAGCAGGAUUAUAUUGCAAUAUAGUAUACCUUUCUUGUGAAGAGGUCUUGUGCAUCCUUGCAUUCAAGAACUUUGAGCUUGUAUAUGUUUUUUUGUUUCUCUGAACAAUGUUUUGCUAUACUCUCUUCCCUUGUGGUCACUAUAAUCCGGCAUGAACUAUCUAAUUUAGGGAAGCUUCCAAAUAUAUUAUCCCAUUCUGCUAUUGAUGAAAGAUCAUCAAGAACAAUCAAGCACUUCCUCCCUUCAAGAAGCCUAGCUAACUCUUUUAUUAAUGCUUCAACUCCCAUCAUUAUUGGGGCUGUGUUUCUUGCACCAUGUGCAAAAUCUAUUGCUCCUUUCUUUUCAGAAGAUUGUACAUUUAGUUGCAUAAUUAAGCUCUUCAGGAACUCCUUAAGAAUGAAAGGGCGCAUCACUGUAACACAAGCAUGCUUCUCAAACACACCAACAUGCUUCUGACUUUCAUAAACAUCUUUGAUCAGAGUAGUUUUCCCAAGACCACCCAUUCCCUAUACUGAGAUCACUGCAAGCUCAUGAUUAGAUGGAUUUGAAAUGAGGUUGAUGAUAUCAGUUUUUUCUUUCUGCCGACCGAUAAGUUGUGAUUCCUCCAAAGCACUUGCCAUAGUUUUGAUGCGAGCAAGGCUUUUUGCAAAUACCUUUAUCUCAUUGCCACCUUGAGAUUGAUGUCCCAGUGUUACAUUAGUACUUAUUGAUUCAUCUGAGCUAGACACUACCAGUGGUAUUUUUAUUUGAUCUUGACAAUCCUAUGCAGAGGUAAACUUUAGUUAUCAGAAUUUUAAAUUUGUCGAUGUUUAAACAAUAUUUUGACUCAAAAAGGUAAAUUCUAGCAUAAAUGCAUAUAAAUUUAUGAUGGGCACAGAUAGAUUGCUUGGGUAAUUAAAAGAAACAAGAUAGAUUGAUUUGGCAAGAAUGGAAUUAUAACAUAUAGGGGAGGCUAGUAUCUAGCCCAAUUACAAAUGAGGUGUUUAGAUAGAACUAUAAUGUGCAAGAUUGUUAUUGGCCAAUAUAUAGAUUUUCUUUAACACUAAUAUUACUAACAAUAGAUUCUAUUUGGAUGAUCGAUGUUAAUUCUCACUAGACAUGCUAGAAAAAUAGAUAGAUCUUAGAAAAUCUCACAAAGAGCGAAACAUUCUACCAUCAAUUUUGUAGACUCAAUCGUUGUUGAUAACAAUAAGCAUAGGAUGUAAUUUACUUUAAAAAUGACCUACCUCUACCAUUACAAAGAUAAUAUCCAAAAUCUACACCUAAAAUCCCCACAUAUGCCAUUAUGAAUAAGAAUUUAAUCAUCCCCUAAAUCUCCAUACAAGUGACCAAUCACUGCUACUAUGAAAAUAAAGCAUAAGUAACCUCGCAAUUUGUAUCUAAAUUACCAAUACCCUCUGCCAUUAUGAAUAAGAAUUUAAAUAAGAUAAUAAAUUUGUGCCUAGAUUAUCCAUCAUUUCCAUUAUUAAAAAUAACUUAAAGUAAUGCUUAAAUCUACAUCUGAAUUGCACAUUUCUAUGAUUAUAAAGUAUAAUAACCCAAAGCAUGCCCUAUAAAUGCUUCUAAAAUGAUCAUUUGUAUCAUCAUUAAUAUGUGAAAAAACUAAAGUAUACACAUCCAUGAUGUUUACCACCAUAGAAACCAAGUAGCAAGCAUGUAGGGAUCAAUAGAUAACAUUUUGACUGACAACAUUAUAACAUCUACAAUGAUAGUUACAUUAUGACCACUCUAAUUAUUUUCUCCCUCAAGCUAUUCUUUUGAUCUAUUUUUGUAACAUAAGUUAUAAUGUCAUGUGUCGUCCCAAUUAAUAUGAACUUAAAACUCAACCGGUACAUGGAGAAACAAAAAAAAAAUCUCAUUAGGGGUAGCAUAGACCAAUUGAAAUAGUUUGGGGAGUACAUCUAGUUAUUCAAGGAACUAAGCGGACAUAGUGGAUUGCUUAGGGUAGUAAAAUAGACAUCUUCAUUUAGUAAAGUUUUUCUAUAAGAAAUGUUUACACCUCUAGACAUGCUGGUUGACAAUCUUGUUUAUUCCUUCCACUUCUAACAGUUAUGCUUCUUAUGCUACCAUGUAUAGGAGCAUGUACUUGUUGAUGGACUCGUCCUUAUGGACGAAAAUUGAUACAUUUUUUCCCGUGCCUAUAAAUAUGGUAAAAGAAUACUGGAUACAACAACCUGAAUCCUUGUAACUAUCUGAGAUAAAGAAAAAUAACAAGAGGUGACACUAAUUCGAUAAUUUCUGAAGGAUGAAUAGUACCUUCUCGUAGAAAGCAUAAAUAGUCUGAUGAGCGGAGAACUGCUAAAGCUCCAACGCUUGGCAUUCUUGCCCUGCACACAAGCUUGCAACUUCAAUUUGUAGGCUGCAAACUAUGAUUCGACUCCCUUUCUUGUGGUUCGGCGGCAGACAUGCUUUAACCCCAUUCCACUCUUCGAAGGUGGACAAGUUAUUAAGCACAAUCAGGAAACUAUUCUCGCUUAGGUAUCCAGAGAACUCCUCUGCCAAUUCUUUUCCUGUCUUCUUGGUCUCCAACAGAACAUCGACCCCCACGGCUGAUCGGAACUGCUUCACUAAGCUUUGGCUGAAGUCAUUCGGAUUGAAGGGAUGCGAGAUCCUUACCCAUGCCCGGCACGAAAACUUCUUUUUGAUAUGUGGAUUCUCGUAGGCAACGUUGAUGAUGGAUGUCUGCCCAAGAUCACCACUGGUUCCCCACACUGCGAUCACUCUAAGAUCCUCGCCCGGUGAUUCAGCACUUCGAGCAAGAUCAUCGAGGAGAGGCGGUGUUGAUUGAGCCCGGAGAUGGUGGAGAUGCUCUCUUGCGUCAAGGACUAGGAAGCUGCAGAAGCAAGACUUCAGAACAUCUUGGAGGAUCAAGAACUUGAGGAAAGUUUUGCUAAUUUGUAUCUAAAUGUCCCUGCUGAUUCAUAGGUGUAAAACUUGGCCUGUAAUAACUUGAACUACUAUAAUAUUGAUUUGAUUGAGCUAGGCUGUACUCUUUUUUCCUAUCUAGGGUUUCUCACGAGGUGUGAGUUUUACCUAAAUAGGUUUUUAAUGAAGCAGCCAUUGCACUAGCUCAAACUUGUAAUCCCUUGUUUCUUUCUGUGAUGUUGAUCUGUGUUGUGAACUUAAAGUUGAUGAGAUAACUUCAAAUCUGUUUUGUGAAGUUAAGGUUGAAAUCUGUGUUGUGAAGUUGAAGUUAGUAUUUAAUCUAUUGAUAUGUUGAAAUCUUGUUUAUCUCAUGAUUUUGUUUAUCUAAUGAUCUGUUGAAGUUGAAAUAUAUUAAUCUGUUGAUCUGUUGAAAUAACUUGAAGAUGAAAUCUUGGUUUGUUUGAAUGGUCAUUGAUCUUUAGUGCCUGACCUGGCACUAGCACGACAGUACCCGUCGUGCCAGCAGGCCGGCUCGACCCAAUAAAAAGGCCAUCGGGCUGGGCCUAGGCCACCUCCUCAGCACGCAGUGCUAGCCCAGCCCGGCACGAAAAACCUUCAGGCCUAUUAGUGCUGGGCCAGACCGGGCUAGGGCUAGGCAACCAUCUAUAUCUGAAGCUGCUCUCGUGGUGAAAUGUGCAGCACCAAUAGCCCAACACAGACACCCCUCCUCUGCACACUCAAAAGCUCCCGCUGCUUGCGUGGUGCCGUGGUGACCUUGGAAAGGGAAUCGAUAUGGAAAACCAAAACACAGUGGUGAAACGUAUCAUGUAAAUAAAACUCUUUAUUGCAUUAAAAAAAUACGGUGCUGAAACUGAACCGGGCCGGAACAACAACGAGGCAAGCUGAACCGUGCGUGGUUCUAUAUUUUCACAUGCAUGUUGUUCCACGUUGGCUCCACCGCAAUGUGGUCAUUCUCUCUGGUUUUAUAGGAACAAGCAAUGCCUAUGCAGGGGUUGCUGGCCUGUGCCUGAUCACCGUGGAGCCGCUGCCCCUGGUGCCAGUGGACAAGCUAAAAUACUACUCCAGCGAAGCACGAAAAAUUGUGUGGCCUGCAAUGGAGUACCGUGCAUUUCCUCUAUUGAUAAUGGCAGGGACGCAAGGGAGCUGCAACAUCACUUGCAAAGAAAAAUGAUGGCAAACCAACUCAAGCAUACACAACCAGCGACCCUGCAGAUCAUUGUGGUGAACGUUCAUACAAAUGACCUGUACAGUUAUUCAUAUAUAGUCCACACCAGUCUUUGUAGCCCAAUUACUGAACUGAAGAACAUUAUUUCACUUCUAUCAGGCGAUGCAUGAUGGAAGAGCACGCUAGUUAUUCUUAUUUGGCACAACCACAUAAGCAAAAAAAAGGAAUACGAACGUACAGACGAACAAAACAAAAACAGAUGAUUCAGAGACGCUGCACUAGGCCCACGGGAUACUAACACGAUCGACCUUAGCUGCAUGCGUCAAAAAGAAAUACAUCAGCAGUAGGACUGGAGAUUAAUUUUACACACACAUCAAUUGUUCAGAUGCACAAAGAGGGUAACAGGGAAGCAGCAAGAGCAAUGACCUGGCACGACGAUCGGCUGACUUUGCAGCACCUCACCACCUCUUCAAAGCGGGUCCAUUUGGAUUGGCACCAAGCUGGCCCUGCAGGUCUUCCAUGAAAGUGUGCUCAUAAGUUUUGCUGUCCAGCAUAAAUUCCUUGAGGCUCCGGAGCAAUGGUAGCCCGGAAAACAUCCCUGUGUUGGUUUCUUCAAGCUUGCCACGAAAAUCUAGCCGCUCAAGCCGAAGCAUUGCCCCUUCUUCAAACUCCACCGAUUUCAGGCCAUCUAUGUCAUUUAGCUCCAGCACUAUCAGACUCGGGAAUGCCUCCGGAUGGAAGGUGAAACGGAGGUUGUCAACCUGGAACGACUUCGCCCACAGACGUAAGCUGACCAGGUUCGGUAGCUUCCCAAGAACUUGGAGUGCAGGUUCGUGCUCCAGUAUUCUAGAGCUCCUUAGAAUCAACUUCACAAGAUUCUUGAGCCCCUCGACCCAUCCUGGCAAUUUGAGCAGAUUGCCGUAUACCUUGAGGCUUUGCAGGUUUUUCGGAGCGGAGGUCAAGCUAUCUAAGCAGCCAUGCAAACCUGGCAUCCCACGUGCCUGCACUAGCAAAUAUUCCAGGCAGCUGAGAUUGGCAACGACUGAACACAAUUCCUGGCCAUUUUCCUUGUUGAUGCCAGUCACAGCUAACUUGCGCAACUGGGUCAGUCUUUUUAUGUCGAGUAGAUUUGCCUUGUCCCAUGCGAGAUUCACAACACUCAAUGUGCGCAGGGAUUUUAGUUUCCCUAUCCCUCUUGGCAUCCAAGUUGGACCUUCUUUCGCCAUCAGAACAGGGAGCAUGACGCAGCAACACUGAGUGCAUACAUCACACCUAUUCAUGUCACCAUCCACAUCCAUAACCUCUUUAAUAAAUUGAGGUGCGCAACAUGCCACGCAAAAUCCUAGCAACCAACCCAUACAAAUGCAUGGCCUGUUAUUCACUACUUUUGGCAGUUCUUCAAGCGAUAAUGAAUUAUCAUGCGCUCCAACAGCCCCAGCACGAAGAUAUUGUAGCUUCUUGAGCUUGGUGAUGGUCUUGGGCAGCUUUAAAAUCGAUGUCUGUGAAAUAUCUAGUGUUUCUAGUUGCUUUAGAUUACCCAACGAAUCUGGCAAGUGAAAAAUAUCAGCACAUCUUCUUAGAGAGAGGUAUCUGAGGUGAAGAAGCUUCCCAAUAUGCUCUAGGUGAUGACUAACCAGACCUGACGUGCCUUCCAAGUCCAGCACACGCAAGAACCUCAUCUUGUCAGAAAUGAAAAAGGACCUCCACUUCCCAAACACUGUUAAUGAGCGUAUGCGGGACAGAUCCACUUUGUUCUCAAACUCACUCUUAUCUGCUUCCCAGUUGGUGCUUAUGACAAGGUGGCGAACUGUGCCCUGGGUGUUUGAGCUGCAACCUUCCUCCAUUCUAAAAACGAGAUUCUCUUCUGUUGACUUUGAGAUGCUAAUCUCACGCAUGAGAUCAUGAACUUGGCAAGAGUCAAUUCCUUUUCUACUAUUAACUGAUAGCUGAGAAGGUAGGAUCAUGCUCCUCUCUAUUAGUUCCAUGAAGUAGUUGUCAGCUACUUCUUCUGGGGACUUAUCUCGAAUCUCCC
rnacentral:lncRNA from 1 species